GACGAGGGGGGGAGACAUCCUUGACUUGGUCUUGACCAAUAGGGAGGAUCUGAUAGAUGAUGUACAGAUCAGGGGAGUGCCGGAUGCGAAUGAUCACUCCACCCUUUGCUUUGAGGUCAGGGAAAUAGGACGUGCUGCAGGUCGAGCACUAAAAGCUGGGACUUCAAGAGGGCCAACUUUGGCCAACUGAAGACCAGACUGGGGAAAGUCUCCUGGGAUAGAUUAGUGGAAGGCAAGUGAGUUGAGGA